CCACAUCCAUGCUAUCUCCUAAAGCAGUCAUUCUGAAACCCAAUCUGGGGACAGUGCAGACUAAAUAAAAUUUCAUUUUGAUUUGGCCUCCUGCUGCGAACGGGACUGCUUUGUCUCGGCCAACAGAACCAGCAAGCCAGAAAGGUAUGUGGCUGUUUUGGUUUUUUUUUUUUUUUUUUUGCAUGGCUGGUGGUGUGUCUGGAAGCUCAGGAUCACCUCUGCUCCUGGCUAGCAGCUCUCCCACUUCCUGCUCCCGGUUUUCUCCCAGCACUGUGUGUCUUCUACCUGCUGGGCAGAGGGUGGCUAACCCGCACCAGUUGUUGACUUUGGCAUAUGUUUAAUCGCUCCUGUGGCUGUUUGCAGCCCCCACCACCACACCCCCAACACCCCCACUGUCUUUUGUUAUUGUUAAGCUUUGGUUUUUUGUU
rnacentral:lncRNA from 1 species